GACAGAGGAUGCAAGCGUUAUCCGGAAUGAUUGGGCGUAAAGCGUCUGUAGGUGGCUUUUUAAGUCUGCCGUCAAAUCCCAGGGCUUAACCCUGAACAGGCGGUGGAAACUACCAAGCUGGAGUACGGUAGGGGCAGAGGGAAUUUCCGGUGGAGCGGUGAAAUGCGUAGAGAUCGGAAAGAACACCAACGGCGAAAGCGCUCUGCUGGGCCGACACUGACACUGAGAGACGAAAGCUAGGGGAGCGAAUGGG
rnacentral:rRNA from 1 species